rnacentral:lncRNA from 10 species
CCUAUGUGAGCCUCCUUCACUUGCCUCCUCUUCAAGCCUCCCCAGACCAGAUGGCUCCAGCGCUGUCCAUGAAUCCCUCUACCACCAGCUUCUUUCUGGAUGGUCUCCUGCCGUAGGCUCAAGCAAAUGUUUGGCUGGUUCCUCCAUUGUCCCUCUGCUCACUGUUGUGAAGGAGCCUGCAGGAGAAAGAGAAGCUGAGAAAGGGAAGAGGCAGAGGUAUGCGGAGACCAAAGCCAAGGGGCUGUUUUCCUGCGGGAAUUUACACUGAUUCGAAGAGAGAGCCUCCAUGAAGAUUUCCUGUCUGACCUCUUGAAUAGUCACAAAACUGAAGACUCGGAAGGGACUGGAUAAAAUGAUUUCAAGGCUCACAUGGAAGAAAAAGGGUGUGACAAGACCCAAGAAAGUCCUGGGAAAAGAGUUGUGUGUGAAGCUUGCCUUACAAAUUGUUAUCAGUUGUUUCUAUAACCCUACUACAAACCAAACAGGAUAGAGCUGGCACGGGCACAGAGAAAGAUAUUGGUGCAACACAGUAAAUAUCCAGAAAUAGUUUCAAAUAUAUGUGAGAAAUUAAAAAUUGACAAGGAUGGCAUUUCAAUUCAGUGGGAAAAAUUUGGUUCAACUAAAUAAAACUGGAUAGCAUUGCUGACAUAAUGACUAUCCAACACAGGAAAAAGCAAGCUAAACACCAAUCCAUAUUACAAAAUGAAUUCCAGAUCAAUUAAAGAUAUAAAUAUAAAAUAUGAAAUUAAAGAUAUUUUAAAAUUUCCUACCAAGACAGGAAACCAAGAUACUAAAAGAAAAAAAAUGAACCAUGUAACUUUUUAAAUUGGAUGAUAUAGUAUAAAAAGAAGAAAGAAAAAUGAGCGGUUAGGAGAAAAGUUUAGGAGAAAAGUUGCAGUACAUAGGAAAAAUGAAGGGUUAGUAUCCCUAAUAUUAAGAGUUUCUAUAAUUAUUUUUUAAAGACAUAUAACUCAGUAGAAAAAUAGGCAAAUAAUUCGAAAGUGGAAUCCAAAUGGCCUAUAGACAUGAACAUGGCCUAUAAAUGUGCUCAACCUCAUUUACUGGUUACAGAAGAAAUGCAAAUCAAACUCAAAAUGAGAUACAGUUGCCCCUUGUUAUCCAUUGGGGGUUGGUUCCAGGACCUCCCAUGGAUACCAAAAUCCUUGAAUGUUCAAGUCCCUGAUAUAAAAUGGUAUACUAUUUGCAUAAAUCUACACAUAUCCCCCUGUAUACUUUAAAUCACCUCUAGAUUACUUAUAUACCUAAUACAAUGUAAAGGCUAUGUAAACAAUUGUUAUACUAUUGUUUAAGAAAUAAUGACAGGAAGAAAAAAGUCUAUACAUGUUCAGUACAAAUGCAAUUUUUUUUCAAAAUUUUCUAUCCACGGUUGAUUGAGUCCACGGAUACAGAGCCCGCUGAUAAGGGGGUGCUGACUGUAUUUUAAAGCCCAUCAUACUAGCAAAACUUCAAGAGUAAAAUUAUCUAUUCCUGGUAAGAAUGUUAGGAAAUGAGCAUCUUAAAUGUUGCUGGUUGGGUAUUAGUUGUCACCAUUUUUGAAAGUUAUCUUGCUGUAUCUAAUAAAAUUUACAAAUACAUAUGCUUUGACUAAGCUAUCUAACUUUGGAGAAUCUCUGGAAAGCAAGCAGCAGGAGAUAAACAUAUGUUACACUAUGUUUAUUACCUCAUUAUCUUCCAGUCCUUUAAACUGUAAAGAAAAUAAAUUUUCACCAUUAGGAAAAUAUUUGAAUUGAUUGUGGCAUGUCCAUACUAUGGAAUACUGUGCCGCUAUUUGAAAAGAAUGUUACAUUUAUGUCUGUCCAUUUGGAGAGGUUUCUAUGAUGUAGAUGUCAUGAUGAGUGAGGAAACCAAGGUGUAGAACAAUAUGUAUGGUACUAUCUCAUUUCUAAACCAAAUAAAAAGCUGAAACCUUACCUAUGUCUAUAUAUGAGUGUAUAUGUCUGUAUGGGUAUACAUAAAGUGGUAGAAGGAUGAACAUCGGAUGUUAACAUUGGUUACCUCAGGAAGGAGGGAAUGAAAGGGACCCUGGGUGGAUGGAGAUGACUAAUUUCUCCUUUAUACAUCUUUUGAAGAUUUUCUUGGUAACAAUGAUCAUAUAUUAGUUUAGUGCUAAAAAAUAACAAGAAA